AGUAACGCGUGGGUAACCUGCCUUAUACAGGGGGAUAACAGUCAGAAAUGGCUGCUAAUACCGCAUAAGCGCACAGAGCUGCAUGGCUCGGUGUGAAAAACUCCGGUGGUAUAAGAUGGACCCGCGUUGGAUUAGCUUGUUGGUGGGGUAACGGCCCACCAAGGCGACGAUCCAUAGCCGGCCUGAGAGGGUGAACGGCCACAUUGGGACUGAGACACGGCCCAGACUCCUACGGGAGGCAGCAGUGGGGAAUAUUGCACAAUGGGGGAAACCCUGAUGCAGCGACGCCGCGUGAAGGAAGAAGUAUCUCGGUAUGUAAACUUCUAUCAGCAGGGAAGAUAGUGACGGUACCUGACUAAGAAGCCCCGGCUAACUACGUGCCAGCAGCCGCGGUAAUACGUAGGGGGCAAGCGUUAUCCGGAUUUACUGGGUGUAAAGGGAGCGUAGACGGUGUGGCAAGUCUGAUGUGAAAGGCAUGGGCUCAACCUGUGGACUGCAUUGGAAACUGUCAUACUUGAGUGCCGGAGGGGUAAGCGGAAUUCCUAGUGUAGCGGUGAAAUGCGUAGAUAUUAGGAGGAACACCAGUGGCGAAGGCGGC
rnacentral:rRNA from 1 species